UGGUGCGGGCCCGACGGUGCC
rnacentral:misc_RNA from 1 species